UGCAGUCGACGGUAACAUUUCUAGCUUGCUAGAAGAUGACGAGUGGCGGACGGGUGAGUAAUGCUUGGGAACUUGCCUUUGCGAGGGGGAUAACAGUUGGAAACGACUGCUAAUACCGCAUAAUGUCUUCGGACCAAACGGGGCUUCGGCUCCGGCGCAAAGAGAGGCCCAAGUGAGAUUAGCUAGUUGGUAAGGUAACGGCUUACCAAGGCGACGAUCUCUAGCUGUUCUGAGAGGAAGAUCAGCCACACUGGGACUGAGACACGGCCCAGACUCCUACGGGAGGCAGCAGUGGGGAAUAUUGCACAAUGGGGGAACCCUGAUGCAGCCAUGCCGCGUGUGUGAAGAAGGCCUUCGGGUUGUAAAGCACUUUCAGUUGUGAGGAAAAGUUAGUAGUUAAUACCUGCUAGCCGUGACGUUAACAACAGAAGAAGCACCGGCUAACUCCGUGCCAGCAGCCGCGGUAAUACGGAGGGUGCGAGCGUUAAUCGGAAUUACUGGGCGUAAAGCGCACGCAGGCGGUUUGUUAAGCUAGAUGGAAAGCCCCGGGCUCAACCUGGGAUGGUCAUUUAGAACUGGCAGACUAGAGUCUUGGAGAGGGGAGUGGAAUUCCAGGUGUAGCGGUGAAAUGCGUAGAUAUCUGGAGGAACAUCAGUGGCGAAGGCGACUCCCUGGCCAAAGACUGACGCUCAUGUGCGAAAGUGUGGGUAGCGAACAGGAUUAGAUACCCUGGUAGUCCACACCGUAAACGCUGUCUACUAGCUGUGUGUGUCUUUAAGACGUGCGUAGCGAAGCUAACGCGCUAAGUAGACCGCCUGGGGGAGUACCGCCCGCGAGGGAUAAAACUCAAAUGGAAUUGACGGGG
rnacentral:rRNA from 1 species